rnacentral:rRNA from 1 species
UGAGGACAAUCCUUAAACGGCCGCGAUAAUCCGUGCGAAGGUAGCAUAAUCACUUGUCUCCUAAAUAGGGACCUGUAUGAAUGGCCACAUGAGAAAGAAACUGUCUCUUAAAGAUAACCAAUGAAACUGAUCUGUCUGUACAAAAGCAGACAUAAUGAAGCAAGACAAAAAGACCCUGUGAAACUUUUAACCUUCUGUCAACCAACACAUGACACUACCUUUAAGUUGGGGCAACUAUAGAGAAACAAAACCUCUACUACAUAAUUAGACCAACCAGUCCAAUUAGACUUCUACAUGACCCAGUAAUACUGAUCAAUGGACCAAGCUACUCCAGGGAUAACAG